rnacentral:rRNA from 1 species
GACGAACGCUGGCGGCGUGCUUAACACAUGCAAGUCGAACGGAAAGGCCCUGCUUGCAGGGUCCUCGAGUUGCGAACGGGUGAGUAACACGUGGGUGAUCUGCCCUGCACUUCGGGAUAAGCCUGGGAAACUGGGUCUAAUACCUGAUAGGAGCCAUUUUUAGUGUGAUGGUUGGAAAGUUUUUUCGGUGUAGGAUGAGCUCGCGGCCUAUCAGCUUGUUGGUGGGGUAAUGGCCUACCAAGGCGGCGACGGGUAGCCGGCCUGAGAGGGUGGACGGCCACAUUGGGACUGAGAGACGGCCCAGACUCCUAAGGGAGGCAGAAGUGGGGAAUAUUGCACCAUGGGCGCAAGCCUGAUGCAGCGACGCCGCGUGGGGGAUGACGGCCUUCGGGUUGUAAACUCCUUUCGCUAGGGACGAAGCUUUUUGUGACGGUACCUAGAUAAGAAGCACCGGCUAACUACGUG